UAGGGAAUCUUCCNCAAUGGGCGCAAGCCUGAUGGAGCAACACCGCGUGAGUGAAGAAGGGUUUCGGCUCGUAAAGCUCUGUUGUUAAAGAAGAACACGUAUGAGAGUAACUGUUCAUACGUUGACGGUAUUUAACCAGAAAGUCACGGCUAACUACGUGCCAG
rnacentral:rRNA from 1 species